GCCUGGGUGGCUUAGUGGGUUAAGCAUCUGCCUUUGACACAGGUCAUGAUCUCAGGGUCCUGGGAUCAAGUCCCACAUCAGGCU
rfam:Mustela putorius furo unplaced genomic scaffold scaffold00182, whole genome shotgun sequence.